GAUGAACGCUGGCGGCGUGCCUAAUACAUGCAAGUCGAGCGAACAGACGAGGAGCUUGCUCCUCUGACGUUAGCGGCGGACGGGUGAGUAACACGUGGAUAACCUACCUAUAAGACUGAGAUAACUUCGUGAAACCGGAGCUAAUACCGGGUAAUAUAUUGAACCGCAUGGUUCAAUAGUGAAUGACGGCUUUGCUGUCACUUAUAGCUGGAUCCGCGCCGCAUUAGCUAGUUGGUCAGGUAACGGCUUACCAAGGCAACGAUGCGUAGCCGACCUGAGAGGGUGAACGGCCACACUGGAACUGAGACACGGUCCAGACUCCUACGGGAGGCAGCAGUAGGGAAUCUUCCGCAAUGGGCGAAAGCCUGACGGAGCAACGCCGCGUGAGUGAUGAAGGUCUUCGGAUCGUAAAACUCUGUUAUUAGGGAAGAACAAAUGUGUAAGAAAAUAUGCACGUCUUGACGGUACCUAAUCAGAAAGCCACGGCUAACUACGUG
rnacentral:rRNA from 1 species